UAUGUGAGGAGGAAGCAGCUGUUUCUUGGCAGCCAGAGCCCCAGGCAGGGACUGGUGCCUCCAGAACCAUGGCAGAGCAAACCCUGACCUUCCCCUAUGACAGGGCACAUGGUGUGUAUGUUAAGGAGCGACUGCUUUGUGUCCCUGCCUACAGGAUGGCAAAGUGCGUGUUUACUCCAUCCUGGGCUCCACGCUAAAGAAUGAAGGCAAGCUCCUAGAAGCCAAGGGGCCAGUGACAGACUUGGCCUACUCCCAUGAUGGUGCCUUCCUGGCUGUGUGUGAUGCCAGCAAGGUGGUCACAGUGUUCAGUGUGGCUGAUGACUACUCGAACAAUGUUUUUUGUGGACACCGUUCAAAAAUCGUGUGCCUGGCUUGGUCACCAGACAAUGAACACUUUGCCUCAGCUGGCAUGGACAUGAUGCUGUACGUGUGGACACUGAGUGAGUGACCCAGAGACCAAAGUCAAGAUCCAAGAUGCUCACCGGCUGCACCAUGUCAGCAGCCUGGCCUGGCUGGAUGAGCACACAUUGGUCACCACUUCCCAUGACGCCUCUGUGAAGGAGUGGACAAUCACCUACUGAGGACGCCGCUCACCCCACGGACCGAAUCAGGGACUAGAUUUUUAACUGCCUCAGAGCACCCUUCUCUUAACUAUUUCUGUAACGCUCCCCUUCCCGCCUGUCCCGGGAGUGAGCAGGGCCUGCGAAUACCCUCCUCUCUACAGGGAGUCUAUGUCUGUACGCGUCCUUCUGAAAGCUUUAGACAGUAACAGUUUGCACAUGAGAAAUAAAGCAAGCACUUAAACAGCAUGUGGAGCGUACCUGAAAACUUACAGCCCACCAGACCGUGAGAGCGUGGAACAUUCCAGAGGCAGCAGCCUCCAAAGCACAGACCCCAGCCCCUGUGGCUCUUGCAGCUUAUCAGGAAGCUGGGUAGGGAGCAGGCCACGGCUCUCCUUUCCCAUGCAAGAUGCAGCUGCACUGGAGAGGAGGAGCUGCUCUGCAGACCCCUGUGUCAGCAUUCUGGGUAGAGCAGGUGUCUACUCCAUGGUGUAAGUCAUGUUACAUGGCUGUCUCCCUGGAGUUAUCCCCAGAUCCCAUGGGGACAUGUGAACCUUGAUCUCAUUGUCAGAUUUUGUGCUUGAUUUUAAGAAUGGAAUCAUGGGUUUUUUUGUUUGUUUUGUUUUUGUUUUUUUUUUUUUAAUGUAUCUUGACUGUUGUCUGUCUUGUUCCUGAGCUGGCGUGCUGACAGUACCAUGUCUAGGCGAGUAGUGCCCUUCAUAGCCAGACUGAGGCUAUGGUCACAUGAUCACCAUGCUUCAAUGUUUUCCUGUCUCUUUCCCUCCUUCUCCCCUGGGCCCAAUGCAGAGAUUAAGGACAAGAUGAUGUCACUGUAACUUGUCAUGUUUUUACCUUUUUUUUUUCUUUUUCAGUGCAGAAAUUAAAGUAAGUAUAAAGCAC